UUGGAAGUGAUGAAGUUGACGUUUGAGCAUUGCAGUGAUGUGUCUUGUGUUCGUACUGUCUGAUCCAG
ensembl:snoRNA